GUCACUCUGCAUUCCCGCUUGUCGUGCCAUGUUCUGUCUGUUCCAGCUCACACCAGCUGUCCUGGAGGGAGGAGCUCCGAGUUGCCACCCAGGAAAAAGAGGGCUCCUCUGGGAGAUGUAUGCUUACUCUCUUAGGCCUUUCAUUCAUCUUGGCAGGACUUAUUGUUGGUGGAGCCUGCAUUUACAAGUACUUCAUGCCCAAGAGCACCAUUUACCGUGGAGAGAUGUGCUUUUUUGAUUCUGAGGAUCCUGCAAAUUCCCUUCGUGGAGGAGAGCCUAACUUCCUGCCUGUGACUGAGGAGGCUGACAUUCGUGAGGAUGACAACAUUGCAAUCAUUGAUGUGCCUGUCCCCAGUUUCUCUGAUAGUGACCCUGCAGCAAUUAUUCAUGACUUUGAAAAGGGAAUGACUGCUUACCUGGACUUGUUGCUGGGGAACUGCUAUCUGAUGCCCCUCAAUACUUCUAUUGUUAUGCCUCCAAAAAAUCUGGUAGAGCUCUUUGGCAAACUGGCGAGUGGCAGAUAUCUGCCUCAAACUUAUGUGGUUCGUGAAGACCUAGUUGCUGUGGAGGAAAUUCGUGAUGUUAGUAACCUUGGCAUCUUUAUUUACCAACUUUGCAAUAACAGAAAGUCCUUCCGCCUUCGUCGCAGAGACCUCUUGCUGGGUUUCAACAAACGUGCCAUUGAUAAAUGCUGGAAGAUUAGACACUUCCCCAACGAAUUUAUUGUUGAGACCAAGAUCUGUCAAGAGUAAGAGGCAACAGAUAGAGUGUCCUUGGUAAUAAGAAGUCAGAGAUUUACAAUAUGACUUUAACAUUAAGGUUUAUGGGAUACUCAAGAUAUUUACUCAUGCAUUUACUCUAUUGCUUAUGCUUUAAAAA
rnacentral:sRNA from 1 species